UUCAAAUUGAGAGUUUGAUCCUGGCUCAGGACGAACGCUGGCGGCGUGCCUAAUACAUGCAAGUCGAGCGAGCUGAAUUCAAAGAUCCCUUCGGGGUGAUUUGUUGGACGCUAGCGGCGGAUGGGUGAGUAACACGUGGGCAAUCUGCCCUAAAGACUGGGAUACCA
rnacentral:rRNA from 1 species